rnacentral:rRNA from 1 species
AAGACCUUGCACUUUUGGAGCGGCCGAUGUCUGAUUAGCUAGUUGGUGGGGUAAUGGCCUACCAAAGCUUCGAUCAGUAGCUGGUCUGAGAGGACGGCCAGCCACACUGGGACUGAGACACGGCCCAGACUCCUACGGGAGGCAGCAGUGGGGAAUUUUGGACAAUGGGGGAAACCCUGAUCCAGCCAUGCCGCGUGAGUGAAGAAGGCCUUCGGGUUGUAAAGCUCUUUCAGUUGAGAAGAAAAGAUUACGACUAAUAAUCGUGAUUCAUGACGGUAUCAACAGAAGAAGCACCGGCUAACUACGUGCCAGCAGCCGCGGUAAUACGUAGGGUGCAAGCGUUAAUCGGAAUUACUGGGCGUAAAGGGUGCGCAGGCGGUCUUGUAAGUCAGAUGUGAAAUCCCCGGGCUUAACCUGGGAAC